AAGCAAUUAGGUUCCUGUUCCUGUAAUCUCUCCUUCACCACCUUAUUUAGUUAUACAGCCUCUUUGUGGACCCCCUUCGGUCUCACGGUUGUUUUCUUCCCCUCCACUAUAAUGAUCUUCAUUCACGAUCUUUGAUGUACUGCUUCCCAUCUGGCUUCACUCUCCAGCAAACCCCUCCAUUUCACUAGCCAUUUUUCUCCAAUAAUAGUUUCAGGACAGUUAAAGCUGCGUUUCUCACCAUCACUUGUUGUUCCACCAAGUCAUUAGUUGUUUUCUUCUCUCCAUAAGAUAGCAAAGGAGCGGGUCUUCUUCCAAAAACGUUCAACCCAGGGGAUCCACCUGCUCCAUUUUGAGGGUGCUCAUUACAAAAGCAUCGUAGAUAAGUUUCUAUACAUCUGUUAACUUUUUCUGUCUGCCCAUCAAUCUGAAGGUGAAACGAGGUACUUCUCUUUAGGAUGGUGCCCAUCACGGAGAAUAAUUCCUUCAAAAAAUGGCUAGGGAAUGUUUUGUCCCUAUUAGUAAUUAUUGACUUAGGUACUUCGUGGUGCCAUAUUACCUUAUGUAUGAAUAUUCAAGCUACCUAUUUG